rnacentral:rRNA from 1 species
AUGGCGUCCCCGAAGCGGCUCCCGUACUCCUCCGCGGGCGCUGGCGGCGGAGCGAGGCGCGGCUCCGGCGCGCUGCCGCCGGUCGUGGUCCUCGUCUUCCUCUUCGUCCUCGCGCCGUCGAUCUUCUUCGUCGUGCGCAGCGGCGGCCACGUCCACGUCGCGUCCGAUCCCAGGGGUGCUGAUGGCAACCAGCCUGUCUUGCAGGAAACAGAUUGGCAAGAGCAACUGGCAACAAACAAUCUGAAAUCUGUUUUGUCUAAGGAGGUAAUCGAUGCUAUAGCUGCUAGUCAACAAGAAACAGGCACUCUGAAUCUUGACUUCUUUAGGGAUCAUCCCUCUCCUUCUUGGAAAACUGAUGAUCUAGUUGAUCACAAGAUGAAUACUAAUUUGGUUGUUGACGACAAGGCAAAAGCUCAAAACAGUUCUGCAGAACAUGUACCUCUAAUAUAUAAAGCACCCAAGGAUGGUUCAGAUGGACAUCAAGUUGAUACAGCAGCAAAAAUAGCUCGAAGGAAACUACGGGAGAUAAGGCGGGAAAAGAGGGCAAUGGAUUUAGUACGGAAAGAUGAUGAAGCGCUUGUUAAGCUGGAGAAUGCGGCUAUUGAGCGAUCAAAGGCUGUAGAUUCUGCUGUCCUUGGGAAAUACAGCAUAUGGAGAAAAGAGAAUGAGAAUGAGAACUCAGAUUCAACAGUCAGGUUGAUGAGGGACCAAAUUAUUAUGGCUCGUGUUUACUCUGUGCUUGCAAAAUCAAAGAACAAGCAUGGUCUUUAUCAAGAACUGCAGAGCCGAAUCAAGGAAAGCCAUCGGGCCGUAGGAGAGGCUACUGCAGAUGCUGAACUUCAUCGCAGUGCACCUGAUAGAAUGAGAGCGAUGGGUCAAGUUUUAACCAAGGCCAGAGAAGAAUUGUAUGAUUGCAAGGUGAUAAGUCAGAGACUAAGGGCAAUGCUUCAGUCAGCAGAUGAACAGGUCAGGAGCUUGAAGAAGCAGAGCACAUUUCUCAGCCAGUUGGCUGCAAAGACGAUUCCAAACAGCAUUCACUGCUUGUCUAUGCGCUUAACAAUAGAUUACUAUCUCCUUCCUGUGGAGAAACGGAAGUUCCCGAGGAGUGAAAACUUGGAAAAUCCAGAGCUCUACCACUAUGCACUUUUCUCGGACAAUGUCUUGGCUGCCUCUGUUGUUGUAAACUCAACCAUCAUGAAUGCCAAGGAGCCUGAGAAACAUGUUUUCCAUCUUGUGACUGAUAAGUUGAACUUUGGAGCCAUGAACAUGUGGUUUUUGCUGAACCCACCUGGCAAGGCCACUAUCCAUGUUGAGAAUGUGGAUGAAUUUAAGUGGUUGAACUCAUCGUACUGUCCUGUUUUACGUCAACUGGAGUCUGCUGCCAUGAAAGAGUUUUAUUUCAAGGCUGAUCGUCCCACCACUCUUUCAGCAGGUUCUUCAAACCUAAAGUACCGUAACCCCAAGUACCUUUCCAUGCUGAACCACUUGAGAUUUUAUCUCCCAGAGAUCUAUCCAAAGUUGGAUAAGAUACUUUUCCUCGAUGACGACAUAGUUGUGCAGAAAGAUUUGACAGGAUUGUGGGAUGUUGAUCUAAACGGAAUGGUUAAUGGUGCGGUGUUUACCUGUGGAGAGAGUUUCCACCGUUUUGACAAGUAUCUUAACUUCUCAAAUCCACACAUUGCUCGGAACUUUGAUCCUAAUGCUUGUGGUUGGGCUUAUGGGAUGAACAUCUUUGAUCUCAAGCAGUGGAAGAACAAGGAUAUUACCGGGAUCUACCACAAGUGGCAAACCAUGAAUGAAGACAGGGUUCUUUGGAAGCUCGGGACACUUCCACCUGGGCUCAUGACGUUUUACAAGCUGACGCACCCCCUUGAUAAAUCGUGGCAUGUCCUUGGACUAGGAUACAACCCAAGCAUCGACCGCUCAGAGAUAGACAAUGCUGCUGUCGCUCAUUACAAUGGGAACAUGAAGCCAUGGCUGGAGCUGGCAAUGACCAAGUAUCGACCAUACUGGACAAGGUAUAUAAAGUAUGACCACCCUUACAUCCGCGGAUGCAACCUGAGUGAGUAG